CAAUGGUAAGCUUUAAUACAUAAAAAGUUUUUGUAUUUUUAAUGUUUUGCAAUUUUCUGACCGGAUUAUUUGGAAUGAUGAAUCUUUUGUACCAGUUGUCUAUCAUUUCAGCAAAGGAAACAACUUAUUUUGAU